UACAGAGGUCUCAAGCGUUGUUCGGAAUCACUGGGCGUAAAGGGUGCGUAGGUGGCGCGGUAAGUCAGAUGUGAAAGCCCGGGGCUCAACCUCGGAAUUGCAUCCGAUACUGCCGUGCUUGAGUACUGGAGAGGUGACUAGAAUUCUAGGUGUAGCAGUGAAAUGCGUAGAUAUCUAGAGGAAUACCAAAGGCGUAGGCAGGUCACUGGACAGUUACUGACACUGAGGCACGAAGGCCAGGGGAGCAAAC
rnacentral:rRNA from 1 species